GCUGGGUUAGCUCAGUGGUUAGAGUUUGGGUCUUGUCACCGGAAGGUCCCGGAAUCGAAUCCCGCCAGAAGCA
rnacentral:tRNA from 1 species